rnacentral:rRNA from 1 species
AGCAGCCGCGGUAAUUCCAGCUCCAAUAGCGUAUAUUAAAGUUGUUGCAGUUAAAAAGCUCGUAGUUGAAUUUCGGGAUCAAUAUGUCGGUCGUGCCUUCGGUACGUACUGGUAUCAUUGGUCUCUCCUUUCUGACGAACCAUGAUGUCAUUAAUUUGGUGUUGUGGGGAGUUAGGACUGUUACUUUGAAAAAAUUAGAGUGUUUAAAGCAGGCUUUAGCUUGAAUACAUUAGCAUGGAAUAAUGAAAUAGGACGUUCGAACCUAUUUUGUUGGUUUCUAGGAUCAACGUAAUGAUUAAUAGGGAUAGUUGGGGGCAUUAGUAUUCAAUUGUCAGAGGUGAAAUUCUUGGAUUUAUUGAAGACUAACUACUGCGAAAGCAUUUGCCAAGGAUGUUUUCAUUAAUCAAGAACGAAAGUUAGGGAUCGAAGACGAUCAGAUACCGUCGUAGUCUUAACCAUAAACUAUGCCGACUAGGGAUCGGAUGAUGUUAAUUUUUAAUGACUCAUUCGGCGCCUUACG